GGGAUUGUGGCUCAGCGGUAGAGCGCUCGCCUAGCACGGGAGGGACCCGGGUUCAAUUCUCAGCACCA
rnacentral:tRNA from 1 species